AUUGAACGCUGGCGGCAGGCUUAACACAUGCAAGUCGAGCGGGGUGAAGUGCUUCGGUACUGAUCCUAGCGGCGGACGGGUGAGUAAUGCUUAGGAAUCUGCCAUUUAGUGGGGGACAACAUUCCGAAAGGAAUGCUAAUACCGCAUACGUCCUACGGGAGAAAGCAGGGGAUCUUCGGACCUUGCGCUAAAUGAUGAGCCUAAGUCGGAUUAGCUAGUUGGUGGGGUAAAGGCCUACCAAGGCGACGAUCUGUAGCGGGCCUGAGAGGAUGAUCCGCCCCACUGGGACUGAGACACGGCCCAGACUCCUACGGGAGGCAGCAGUGGGGAAUAUUGGACAAUGGGCGGAAGCCUGAUCCAGCCAUGCCGCGUGUGUGAAGAAGGCCUUUUGGUUGUAAAGCACUUUAAGCGAGGAGGAGGCUACCUGGAUUAAUACUCUGGGAUAGUGGACGUUACUCGCAGAAUAAGCACCGGCUAACUCUGUGCCAGCAGCCGCGGUAAAAC
rnacentral:rRNA from 1 species